GUGCCAGCAGCCGCGGUAAUACGGAGGGGGUUAGCGUUGUUCGGAAUUACUGGGCGUAAAGCGCACGUAGGCGGACUAUUAAGUUAGAGGUGAAAUCCCAGGGCUCAACCCUAAAAUGUCGAUCGAUACUGUUGUGACUAGGAUACGGUAGAGGUGAAUGGAAUUCCGAGUGUAGCGGUGAAAUGCGUAGAUAUUCGGAGGAACACCAAUUGCGAAGGCAGUUCACUGGACCGUGAUCGACGCUGAGGAGCGAAAGCUAGGGGAGCAAACAGGAUUAGAUA
rnacentral:rRNA from 1 species